ensembl:snRNA U6 U6 spliceosomal RNA
GUGUUGGCUUCAGCAGCAUAUACACUAUAAUUGGAAUGAUACAGAGAAGAUUAGCGUGACCCCUGUGCAAGGAUGACACGCAAAUUGUGAAGCGUUCCAUAUUUUU